rnacentral:lncRNA from 1 species
GCAGAACUCCCUCCGUCCAAUCACCCAUUACUCAUAGAAAAGUUCAAGUUCGUGGCUCAAUUCCUUGCUCUGAUGCUGCCAAUUUGGGAACUAAAAUUUGAGGGAACUGCUGGUUCUUUGUUUCGUUUCCCCCCUUAGGGGAUCGAGGUGAAUAACAACUUCUUUUUUCUCAAAACUGGGACAGCCGCAGCUACUCCUCAGUUCAUUCGACAAUUGAGCUACCUCUACAUGACCUACGCUGGGAUUAUCAUAUAUAUACUGGUAUAUGGAUAUUGGGGUGCCGGAUUUGCUCGAUCUCCGGUGGAGUCACACAGCCGAAGAAUUUUGCAAAUUUGAGAAGGGAAGAUGUCCUUAAUAAUUGCUAUGUUUACUUCUUUAAUAACGGUUCAUACCUUCAUUUUAAAUAAAAUGGUGUAUGUUGUCCACUUGUUAUGAGCUUGAUCGAGCCUUGAACUUCUAUGAGACGUUCAAUAUUAAAUUUGUGACUGAUGAUGCUGGAUAUCUUAAAAUAUUGCUUGAGAGGGGCUGUUUCUAUAUUGAAUUUCUAUGAGACGUUCUUGUUUCUAUAUCUAUAGUUUCAAUAUUGCUUGAGAGGGGCUGUAAUCUUGUUUAUACAUUUAUGCUAAGCUAGUCAUUGUCAGCGCAAGAAUUAUAUAUAUAUCUAUGUACAGAUUCCUGAGUUUAUGAGCUUGAUGUUGCUAUGGUUUUCUUCUGGUUCCGGGCUUGAUAUAGCUGUGGUGUUGGCUCAAAGUUUGGACCGAUGGCUAUGAUUUGGCUUUGAUCUUAGCUCAGCGCUGAAGAGGGCAGCGCAGGCGAGGGCCUUUGAGGUCAGUGCAGACAGCGAUCUUCGAGAGGAAUUGAAGCAUCAAGAGGUCAGCGCAGGUGGCGUCAAGAGGUCAGCGCAGACGGCGAUCUUCGAGAGGAAUUGAAGCAUCAAGAGGUCAGUGCAGGCGGCAUCAAGAGGUCAGCGCAGGCGGCGGUCUUCGAGAAGAAUUGGAGCAUCAAGAGGUCAGCGCAGGCGGUGGUCAUCAAGAAUGCAGCGCAUCUGGUCUAUUAGCGCAGCGCGUCUUUUCUCUCAAGGCAGCGCAAUGCGUCUUAUCUAUCUGGGCAGCGCUGCUGCGUUUUUCUCUAUAAGCACGGAGCAGGGUUGCUUUUUAAGAAAUGUCUGCAAAGCACACAACUCAUGUUGAAUUUAGGGGCUUGUUGGAUUUCUGAAUUCACUUGAAGAGUCGUUUAAUCUUAUUAUUACAAUAUAUUGCUGAUAUCUUGUUGUGGUGG